UACGUAGGGGGCAAGCGUUGUCCGGAUUUAUUGGGCGUAAAGAGCGUGUAGGCGGCUUUACAGGUCCGUUGUGAAAACUCGAGGCUCAACCUCGAGACGCCGGUGGAAACCGUAAAGCUAGAGUCCGGAAGAGGAGAGUGGAAAUUCCUGGUGUAGCGGUGAAAUGCGCAGAUAAUCAGGAGGAACACCCGUGGCGAAAGCGGCUCUCUGGGACGGUACUGACGCUGAGACGCGAAAGCGUGGGGAGCAAAACAGG
rnacentral:rRNA from 1 species